rnacentral:misc_RNA from 1 species
AAUCCAGGGUAUCUGGUAUGCCCAGCUUGAAUCAUAGACAGAUCUUAGACUUUGUGGAUCAUUUCUUCGUUUUUGAUUUUGUUAUAAGUUACUACAAGGUUUCAACUUUCUAUGACCCAAUUGGAUAAGUAAUGAGACAACUAUCUUCCUGUAUAUUAUCAAGUAUAAGUAAUAAUCCAUUAACAUACUGAGUUGCAAAAUGCUGAUAUGUACUUAGAUUUGCUAAGCGUU